rnacentral:rRNA from 1 species
GAUGAACGCUGGCGGCGUGCCUAAUACAUGCAAGUCGAGCGAACAGACGAGGAGCUUGCUCCUCUGACGUUAGCGGCGGACGGGUGAGUAACACGUGGAUAACCUACCUAUAAGACUGGGAUAACUUCGGGAAACCGGAGCUAAUACCGGAUAAUAUAUUGAACCGCAUGGUUCAAUAGUGAAAGACGGUUUUGCUGUCACUUAUAGAUGGAUCCGCGCCGCAUUAGCUAGUUGGUAAGGUAACGGCUUACCAAGGCAACGAUGCGUAGCCGACCUGAGAGGGGGAGCGGCCACACGGGAGCUGAGCCGCGGACCGGGCUCCUGCGGGAGGCAGCAGUGGGUCAUCGCCGGGAAGGGGCGAAAUGCUGGCGCAGUGGCGCGGAGUGAGAGAUGAAGGUCCUCGGAUCUUAAAACUGUGUUAUUAGGGAAGAACAAUUUUGUAAGUAACUGUGCCCGGCUUGACGGUACCUAAUAAGAAAGCCACGGCUAACUACGUG